UACGUAGGCGGAAAAUUAAGUCAGUAGUGAAAUCCUGCAGCUUAACUGUAGAACUGUUAUUGAUACUGGUUUUCUUGAAUAUAGUUGAGGUAGGCGGAAUGUGUAAUGUAGCGGUGAAAUGCUUAGAUAUUACACAGAACACCGAUUGCGAAGGCAGCUUACUAAGCUAUGAUUGACGCUGAGGUACGAAAGCGUGGUGAGCGAACAGGAUUAGAUACCCUGGUAGUC
rnacentral:rRNA from 1 species